CGCGGACGGAGGAUUUUGCGAGCCAGACCCAAAGGCUGUAAACUGCACAUCCAGCGGCUGCCCUGCGCUCGGCUGGGCGGUAUUUUGGCCAGCGGCACAUCUCUGCCUUCUCUCCGGUGUUUCGGCAGCUGGAGGAGAAGAAAGGAGGGAUGCGCGCACGGUCCUUGAACGCCACAAAGAAGUUAACGAGGCUGACAGAAAGAGGACCCUCCUGUUGAUUCAGCUCUUCUUUUUACCCCAUCACAUUUCAGGAGUAUUUCAGGAACACACUUCUCACCUCUAUAUGGCAAAGUUCCUGGCUGAAUUACUGGGAUGCACACUUCCAGACAAGGGCACCCCACCUUUGUUCGAGUGUCGGAGCCAGCCUCAUCUCAGACUGAGGCCUUCCUCCAAACAGCGGUCCACAAUUUUUGGGACAUUAACCAGUGAGCGAGCACUGUUUGACAACAGACUGGUGGGCCAUGAUUGGCGAGAUGCAUUGCUGUAACGCAACGCAGAUGAAUAAAAAGGACAUGGUUCUACUUUCCAGUCUCAAGAAGCAAUUCAAGUCCAAGUAGCUAAGCUUCACAAGGCAAAGCUGUGUGCUGAACAUGUUACAAAUG